UACGUAGGUGGCAAGCGUUGUCCGGAUUUACUGGGCGUAAAGGGCGUGCAGGCGGUUUGUUUAGUCUAGGGUGAAAGCUCCCGGCUUAACUGGGAGAGGUCCUUGGAUACUGGCAAACUUGAGGGAGGCAGAGGAAAGUGGAAUUCCCGGUGUAGUGGUGAUAUGCGUAGAUAUCGGGAGGAACACCAGUGGCGAGGGCGGCUUUCUGGGCCUUACCUGACGCUGAGACGCGAAAGCGUGGGGAGCGAACCGG
rnacentral:rRNA from 1 species